AGCGGACGCUGGCGGCAGGCCUAACACAUGCAAGUCGAACGGGCACCUUCGGGUGUCAGUGGCAGACGGGUGAGUAACACGUGGGAACGUGCCCUUUGGUUCGGAACAACUCCGGGAAACUGGAGCUAAUACCGGAUAAGCCCUUCGGGGGAAAGAUUUAUCGCCAAAGGAUCGGCCCGCGUCUGAUUAGCUUGUUGGUGAGGUAAUGGCUCACCAAGGCGACGAUCAGUAGCUGGUCUGAGAGGAUGAUCAGCCAGACUGGGACUGAGAACGGCCCAGACUCCUACGGGAGGCAGCAGUAGGGAAUUUUCACAAUGGACGAAAGUCUGAUGGAGCAACGCCGCGUGCAGGAUGAAUGCCUUCGGUUGUAAACUG
rnacentral:rRNA from 1 species